rnacentral:rRNA from 1 species
UACGGAGGGUGCAAGCGUUAUCCGGAUUCACUGGGUUUAAAGGGUGCGUAGGUGGGUUGGUAAGUCAGUGGUGAAAUCCCCGAGCUUAACUUGGGAACUGCCAUUGAUACUAUCAGUCUUGAAUACCGUGGAGGCUAGCGGAAUAUGUCAUGUAGCGGUGAAAUGCUUAGAUAUGACAUAGAACACCAAUUGCGAAGGCAGCUGGCUACACGAAUAUUGACACUGAGGCACGAAAGCGUGGGGAUCAAACAGG